UACUAUGUUUCAGCCUGGUUAGAGUUUUGGAUAAAAUGCAAGAGUUUAGGAACAGCUCUAGGUGAGCCAUCUGGGCUUUUCCAGAGGAAACUGAAGAGUGACCUUUAGAAGUGGCUCUGUCUCUGCUUUACUGUGGUGUAUCCCCCCCGGGUAGGCCUCUUCUAGGACACUGAUGGCCUGGCCUGGCCAGCCCUGUGGGCUCAGACAGCAGUGUGGGCUGAACCCUUUUAGGGUGGCCUCAGUGUUCUACAGAUGGACGUUUAAGAACACAGUGCAUGGUAAGUGUAAGGAGAUGCACUGUGGCACAAUGACAGGCCUGAAUCAAAUCCCCACCUCUACCACUCAGCAGCUGUGGGUCUUUGGGAAAAGUUAUUUUAAACCUGGGUUCAUCCCAUCCCUAGUGACUGCUGAUUGUGUGUCCAGCCUCAGAACCCAAUGAAUGUUCUGAAGUUCUCCACCCUACCUCCUUCAUUAAGGUCUUAUAAAAAUAUCUACUGGCUUAUAUUCUUCUCAAUGAAGCCUCUUAAAAAAAUAAAAAUGAAUAUUCUACAUAAUAAAUGGGAGAGGGAAUCACGCCAUAUCAAUUACUGGUUGGGCGUUGAUGAGUUUUCAGAGCCAAGAAUCCCUGGGAAGGUGCUGUUACAUAGAAAUGAUCAUGGUUAGGCCACAGGUUGUUAACUUCGACUCUGUGGAAAAUCAGUCCAGUAGCUUUUUUCUACAGAAGAUAGCUUUUUCCCAUAAAAGAAAACCUAGCAAUAAAAAUUAAACUUCUUUACUAGGAAAAAAUGUAGCUAGCUAGAAUGACCAAAUUAUAAUAGUCUACAUUUCAUCUCUUGUAUCUUUUACUACUUAUGUAAGGGGGGGAAAAAAAAGAAUUAACAUUUUGCAUUUCUGGCUCCUUUCAUAAGAAAAACAUCAUUACCUUUCUGAUUGUGUUUUGAACAAACACAGAUCCUUCAGGAAGAAACUCAUCCCUGUGGGGAUUGAGAAAGGAUCAGAGUUAAGCACUGAAACAAGCAAUUAAUUCCCAUUAGAGGAUUAAGGCACUCAUGUUCACUUUGAAUCAGAAAAACAAAUUGUGAAUAAAAUCAUGUACAACCAAGAGGUUACUUGUCAAAGUUAAUAAAUUAGAGAAUUGAAGGGCCAACUGGAAUGCACAGGGGAGGCUGAGCACCACAGGCAGGCACACUGGUGGGGUUUCAUAUUUGUGGGAUAAGAUCGGCCAUCCUCUUUAAAUGCCACAGAGCCAUGGCAGGGACUGGGGCGGGGGGAUCACGGUUUGUUAUGAUGCUGUACUUCUGCUAACAGAUGGGGUCUAUGAGAGGACGUCUAAAAGUGUUUUUCAACCCUGUUAUGUCACCAUCCACCACACAUGGAUUACCCUACAAUAUCAACGAGAGAGACACACGAGAUGCUAACAUUAUUCAGUGUGGCAGGAGCUGAUUCUAAAUGACCUGAAGCACCAUCUCUGCCAACAUUACCAGCGUAUACAGGACUGAGUGGGAGGCCACUGCUGCACUAAGGUCUCAGGACCCUCCACUUGGGAGUCGAGGAGCCCAAAACUGAACCCCUGUCCCAAACCAACUGGUUGGGAAUGACGUGGACAGUGAGGGGUCAGUAGGGAGGUGGGACAGGCACAGAAACUUUUACUUCAGCAAAUUUUGGUUGCUUUAGCAUUGUCAAUAUUUCAGAACACGAAACCACCCGUGGAAGUGCCCAUCUGGCCUGGCGCUGCUGGAAACGCCUGCCCCUUGCUCAGCAGUUUUCAGUCUUCAAACACAGCCCGUCUAUAGUUUCGUAUUUCAUCGCUGAAGCAGAAAUUGAAAGUGAUUACGAAUCAUUCCCAUAAUUGUUGGAUUUUUCCUGCUUAAUUUUUUUCUUAGCCACCUGGUGGUAAGAGUGUAAAAGGCAGGGUUGCAGUAAGAGUUUAUUGUGCUAGUUUACAAAUGGCAGCUAUCGCAAAGGCUGAGACCACAUUUAGAAACACACGUACCAGGUGAAGCAAAGGGCUAACGGUGAACUGUUCUCAAACUUACCGGCAAAGGGACUUCAAUGGGCACCAGCUUCUAACAUGAAAACAACCUUUAAGUAAAGGCACCUCCAUAAAAUAUUCAUCCCGCAUGGAUUAAAAUGUAAUGAAAUGGGGAAACGUUAGUAAAUCUGUAUGUUUUCUUGGAUAAUUCAUCAAGCCGCUAACACUGUUCACUGCCUGGUGUCAAAUUAAGAGGGUUCGACAAGGUGGGUGAAGUGGCGGGAUUUGGGUGGCACAAAACUCAGCGCCUAAGGAGCCGGCCCUGCCUCUUGGCACUGCACUGUUUCCAGAAACGCCUGCCCCAGAGAAGUGUGCGAUUGUCGGGCCUGUCUUCUCCCAUCUUCUCCCCCUUCUCCUGCCAUAUGAAGCCGCUGUCAGCAUUGGCUCCUGCAGACCCCGGCCACCCUGUCACAACUGAGGACCCACUUCACCAAAGCCAGCUGCCACCCUAGUCCUUCCGUGGCCACCAGCCGCCCUUAGCAGAUGUCACCAAGUGUGGCCGGAUCUCGGAUUUGUGGUGGCCUCCCUUAGUCACUUUCUGGAACCCAACAUGCAGUACAAGGCCAGAAGACUUCUUCCCGGAAGGUGAAGCAGCCCUAGGAGCUGGGGCUGAGGGAGCAGUGAAUCGGCUGCUGGGAUUCAGACUCAGGCCCCACCAGCUAUCCUUGCCCACCCAGGGCCCGUCCACUGUUGCUGACUGAGCGGAGGUUCCCACACUUGGCUACUAAGGAACACAGCAAAUGACCUGCCUGUUAGAGUAUAUCUGCAAGCCUGCUAGAGAAGAGUGGAGCUCUUCCCCGACAUGCUGGCAGCUGCUCGAGGUAUGUUCAUGCCGCCUGGCACAAGCCCUCGGGUCAAGAGAAAGAGCCAAGAAUCUGCACCGUGUCCCAACCCAGUGUCUGUCUACAGGGCGGGGCAAAGGGGCCAGUGGGUCUGGUUAGAGGCAGGUAACUUGCAUCUCGUAUGCCCCCAAAGGUCUUUGUUUUUCCUCCAUGACAACUCAGGCCCACAAGCAGCAGAGGGAAGGGGAAGGACUAUCCUUUAGUGUACUACUGAAAGGUUUUUUCAGAAACAUUUUAAGUCUGUAGUAACAAAAUGGUUUUUAUUCAACUGAUCUGCUUUCCUAGGUGAGAAUGGGAAGCUUGGAAGUGCAACUUACAUGUGAGUCAGAAGCAACACAGAACUAUUACAAAAUGUCAUACAAAGCCAUGCUUUUUUAGGUAGUGUGCUAACAAACUAUUCUAGAAAGAAGAGAACAUACACCUGUUUAAACAACUCUAAGGCUUUAGAAGUCAGGCCUACCCAAAAGUGAAUAAACUUGUUACGAAUGCAGGUGAGGGUUCCUGGCUGGGUCUGAGCCCUCACUCCCUCUACUUAAUAUGGUAUUUCAUAGCUUUACAGAAACAAGCCUCCCAGAAGGAGCACUGGACAGAGAGCUGGGAAAUCAGAGGUCAAAGCCAAGCCCCUGCUGACUGUCAGAGGGGCCUGUUUCACCCAGCCACAUGAGGCAAGGCCACAGCGGGUGGCAGUGGGGGGUGUGGGCACCCUGGGCUCGGCUGCCCUGGGACCCGGGAUCCACAGGGGGCAGAUCACAGGCCUCUCCGAAUGACAUGGGACAGAACUGAAUUAGCGAAAGGACUCUGGAAGAUGACCAGCAGAUACAACUGCAAAGCUCCAGAGCACGACCUAGACCACCAAAGUGGCCCUGAGCAUCACUUGGAAACCACCAGCACACGUGGCUCCCACCCACUAGUGUGUCCAGUGCUCCCGGCCCCAUGCUCCCCUGCCAGUUGGCACUGCCAGCCCACAGUGAAUCAGCAAUGAGCCAAACUCCAUUCCCAGUGGGCUCUGGAAUUCAGGACUUAAUUCUUCCGGUAACAAACAGAUCUACCUUCAGAAUUACCUUUGCUGAGAAUAUUGUUAAAUCCUGUCUAAAUUCUCUGCAAAGGUGCUGGCUACCCACAGGAAGUCAGGUAGGCGAGGGGGAGGAAUGCAGACCUAGAGGGAAGGUAAACUGCCUGCUGGAGCACCAGGAGGACCGCCCCCGGUGCACAUGUGACACACGGAUCUCCGUUUUUAAACAGUUCUUAAAAAGAAAUAAGCUUUCUUAAAAAUAAAAGCACAGAAUAUUAAGCCUAA